AUCCUGCUGAUGCACACAGGUCCCAUUGCCUUGUCUUGCAUCAUGCCAUGUCUCCAAACCACAUGCUUUCACCCAGAACAAGCGGUUCUCUCCUCACUGCCUGGGAAACAGCAGCUAUUUCAAAAGAGGCCGCAGCAGCAUUCUGAAAAACUUCCACCUGGCAGCUAAUUUCCUCAUCUUUGGACUCUCUGAGCGGGAUUAUUCUGCACCCACUAGGCCUUCGGAUCUUAUGCAGAGGAGCAAGGAGAAUGCAAUGUGCACUUCAGAACCCAUGAUUAACUGCACUGAAGUGUCAUAGCGCACAAUGAGGAAAUAUUCAGUUUUCCAAUUGAACAAGGCUAAAUAUGGAUGAAUAUUAAGGCAAGCUGAGCAAACCACUUGCAGGGAGUAACCCACUUUCCGCCUCACGCCAUCUCCUCCCUGGUUUUCUCCACAGAAUAGCGCAGAAUGAGCAAGAAAUAGCAGGAGAGUUGGCUGAGAGGUCAUUUAGCUGCCUGUGGAGCAAGCAAAACGUUGGCUGUUUCCAGCUGCCAGCACAUGUUGGACUGGAGUCAGAAGGACCUCUAGUGAACUCCAGGAAGUGUAGCAGCAGCAUCCCAGGAGUGGGAAAGGAAAACACUGCAACAACUAUACUUGAUGCAAGCUGCAUUCCAUUAAAGUCAGCUGAAGUUCCUUUAUUGGAACAGUGAAAAAUACACAUUUAUCAGAGAUGCUGCCGAAACUCACAAUUAGUCAGUUCAUAUGUCAAAUCUACUAUGUUCAAACCUCCUAUAUAGCAUAGACCUGACUUUGACCCAACAUACAAAAUAUUAAAGUAAUUCCAACCAAGAUUAUGAGUUAUAUUGUUUUCUGCACCUGCAAAGUCUGCAUGUGUGGGGGUGGGUGUCCUAGUAAGCUUACAAUAAUGCAAGGUUAGCUCAAAGAAGCUUUAACCUUUAAAGUAAACUUAAUGGUAAAAGCUACAAUGCUCAUGCAGUGUUGUUUCCAGUACAAAAGAUAUUAAUUAUGGGUUUUUUUCCCCAGAGUCAGUAAUGCUCAGUGUAGACCCACUGAAAAUAGUGCACUGAAGUUAGUAAUGACUAUUCAUUUCAAAGGGUCUACUCAGAGCAUGACUAAUGCUGGCUGUAAUCCAAUUGCUGCCCCCAUGGCAAGGGUUAUUUCCAGCCCCAUCUUGAAAGCACACAGCAGGAGCAGGAGCACUUCCUUAGCCUCUUAAAGGCCUUUACCUUUAAGAAGAGUUUUAAAAUAUACUGUAAAGGGGAGGAAAGACUAAAGCACCUUUGGACAAUAUCAUGCUACUAGUUUAAAUCUGAAGACAAUAGGGGUGGUAUUCAACUAUGUUUUACUCAGGCUGAAAUUAAUGAGCCUAAUUUAGUAAUGCUCAUUCAUUUCAAUAGGCCUACUCUAGAGUAAAAUUAGUUGACUACCACCCAAGAUUUCAAAGGAGUAACAAUGUGUAAUUCAUGCAAGCAAAUUACGACACUGUCGAUUCACCCACUAUUUAUUUAAAUUAAUUUUUAUAUAAAAAUAAACACCCAGUAAAAAAAUUCUAUGUAAGAACACCCACAUGUACAUGCUGCAGACAAAAAGAAAUCAAACAGCUUGCUUAUACAAUAUGAAUGCCCAUCAUUAGAUUUUUUUGAAGAGCCCUCUUGGUGGCUGCUCCCAGACUUCAGAAAUCUCUUCCUAGAGAUGUUAAGACUGGUUCCCUCCUUGUUGUCUUUCCACCGGCACAUGAAGACCUUUUUAUUUAAACAGACCUUUAGGGAAUGACUGUUUUUAAAGAAAGGUCUGGUGCUGUGAUGUUCAUAUUGUUGUCAUAUUCUUAUUUUUAUAAGAUUUGUUUUUAUAUUGGUUUGAAUAUUAUUAGUGACGAAAUGCUUUGAAAUGAUUGUAUUUUCUGUUUAUCACUUUUCUAUUUUAUCUGUGUUUUGUAUUUUUAUUUGUAAGGCACCAUGAAUCCCAAUCCAGGACAAAAGCAGGAUAAAAUUUUAUUUGUUUGUUAUAAUAAAAAAACACUACCUAAAGGGCUGUCCAUGCUGCUGCAGUCAUUUAGACCUUGCUUCUCACUAAAGUGAUACAGCUGUGUCUAGCCUGUUUGACUUAAGGUUGAAGGUAGAGAGUAGCUCACAUAACUAUGCCUCCACACAAAGAAGAAAUUGCUCCAGAGGAAAAAAACAGGCACUGAGAACAAUGAAACCAAGUCUAUAACUGAUAUGAAGAAGCAUGCACACUGGCAAUCUGAUGUGGUAUAAACAAAAGGAUCAUCACAUCAAGGAC